rnacentral:lncRNA from 1 species
UCCUGUCUCAGCCUCCUGAGUAGCUGGGACUACAGGUGCCUGCCACCACCCCCGGCUAAAUAGCGUUUUAUUAAAUACGUCUCUAUUGUAAAUGUUCAGGCAGCUUAAUACAAUUGUACUCCAAAUCUGAGUAUAAACAAUAUUUAUAAUGCAUUUCAGAUGGCUUUUUAUUUUGUCCUAUUAAUACAAUUGUACUCCAAAUCUGAAUAUGAAAUAUGGAAGACUGAUCUAUUCAAACAAUAUUUUUAUAAUGCAUUUCAGAUGGCUUUUUAUUUUGCCCUAUUAAUACAAUUGUACUCCAAAUCUGAAUAUGAAAUAUGGAAGACUGAUCUAUUCAAACAAUAUUUUUAUAAUGCAUUUCAGAUGGCUUCCAAAUUUUGUAGCUAUGUCAUUCAGGAGAAUGGAAGCAUGCUCAAGGCAGUAGUUGUUUACUAAACACUCUGAGACUGUUGGGGAUUUUGCCUUAUUUUAGACCAAGCUUUUACUCUAGUUCCCCAGGCUCCUGUGCAGUACUAGAAUAAAACAAAUAUCCAGUAUAUAAAGCCAGCAGUGCAUUGAAUUCCUUUUAUGUUUAAGAUUUGCCAUGUCAAAUUUUGAGAACAUUGACAACUUUGUCUAGUGAAGUUACCAGAAAGACGUCCCAAUCCAGACACCAAGCAAGGGUUCUUGUAUCUUGUGCAAGAAAGAAUCAGGAUGAGUUUGUAAAGUGAAAGCAAUGUUAUUAGGAAAGUAAAGAAAUAAAGAACGGCUACUUGAAAUAUGGAAGACUGAUCUAUUCUAACAAUAUUUUUAUGAUGCAUUUACUGUAUGUGCAAAACAUUUGUUUAGUAACUCUACUUGUAUCGUCUGAGUUCAACAAGUACAGAAAAAAAUAGUGAAAAAAUAUAGGACUCGCUUUUUAAUAGUUAUUUUCACAGGAAAUAUUAAUUAUAUUUGAAUAAAAGCAAGAAAUAGAUUUUUUUAGCCACAUAUCUGAACCUGACACUCAUAAUUUCAUUUUGGCUUUCACUGAAUAAUAAGAACAGUAAAUGUCCUACCUGAGAGAGCCAAGAUAUAAGACUACCUUGGAUUUUAUUCUCUGCUUCAUCUAAAAUUUGAGGACUUCAUAAAUAUAUUUGGGAUAUCCCUUUCAAGUUUACUAUAUUGAACAACCAGAGAAUUCUAUUCCUUCACACAAUUUUCUAUUCCUACUGGUGAAGAGAGCUCCCAAGAGAAAUUAGAGGAAAACAAAUUCCCUUACAAACAAAAAUAACUGAGGAGAGAAAGAUCUCAGCAAGUGUGAAAAUUUUAGUAUCUACAAAAAAGAAAAAGUAAUAAACUGAAAGGCAUUCAUUCCUUGAGAAAAUGAAUAAAAAUUCGCAUCAGAGAAACAUCAAGUGGAUAUGCUGUAGGGAAAUCGCUUGGAUAAAAAUAAAAAGAAAUGAAUUCAGUUGGAGAAAACAUUUUGGAAAACAAUAGGUAUGAGACUAAAUAAUUUUAUUUCACUUCUUCUUUCACUACAAAGAAUAACCUUUGAUCUUCAAGUCCCAGGAAUUAAAUGUUUUUAUACAUUCUGAAUUGAGAGCUAUUAUUUCCCAGCAGGGCUUCUCUCUGUUCUCAAAUGUUUUUCUUAUCAAAAAAAAGAAGAGAUCUAUAAAAUAAGGACUCUGCUACCUGUGAUUUGCCUACACCUUGGCUAAGCAUUGAGGAUGUUUGUUUCUUUGUUCUAUGCUGGUCUCAUCUUUAUCAUUAACUUAAGGUUUUCCCCUAAGGGCAGAGAUUGUUUUUUCAUAAACCACAAAAUGAUAAUUUUGUUUUUCCAAAAUGUAAGCCUUUAAAUGUGUGCUAUGUUUAUAACUCUUUAGGAUACUGGAAAAUUUUCAGGACAUUUAACUACUUCAUGUUUAUAACUCUCUAGGAUAUUGGAAAAUUGUCAGGACAAUUAACUACUUAAUGUAUAAUAUAAAUUUGAAAUUUUAAAUGUACUAUAAAUCAACAGUUGAUAUUCCUUAUUGAAAAUUUUCCACCUGAAAUAUAUGUGUAUAAUUAUCUUACAUAAAUUAUCUCACUUUUUAAUUACAGAAAUAUGACCAUUAUUCACAUUUUACAGAAAUGGAAGCUGAGUUUAGAAAUAUAUCUAUAACAAGGUUAAUACUGAUACGAUAACAAGUAAAGCCAUUAUAUACAUGUAUGUGUAUAUAAAAAUUUAAUGUUUUUAGUCACAAGUGGAAGCACAGUCUAGGAAAAACUAAAAUUCCAAAAAAGAUUAAAUAAUUUCAAAAUAAAAUUUGCUCCACUGCUCUGUGUUCUGCUGCUGCUUCUAGGCAUGACAUAACCUGUCAUUGUCAGAGGCAUGUGAGCCAAAGUGACUCCAUCUUGAAUAGGGGCUGGGGAAAAUGAGGCUGAGAUCUACUGGAUUGCAUUUCCAGACGGUUAAAGCAUUCUAAGUCAGAGGAUGAAAUAGGAGGCUGGCACUUUACAGAAAAAAUGACUAAGAGUUUCAACAGAAAAUUGCAAUAUCAAAAAAUGAAUACAGGACUGAAUCAUAAAAUAUCUGAAAUUAUGAACAAGACGGGUGAGUUUAACAACAUUUCAGAUACCCCAGAACACAGAACCUUGCAACUUAAAGAUAGGGUAAUAGAAAAUACCCAUAGGAAAGCACAAAGGAAAAGAAAAGAGAAGAAAAGAAAAGAACAGAGUGAGAAGCAUGCAAGAUGUGUUAAGAAGUUCUAGCAUACAUAUAUAUGGAAUUCCAGAAAUGAGAGACUGUAUGGGGCAAAAAUAAAAUUUAAAAGAAUAAUGAUUGAGAAUUCUACAUAAAUAAGGAAAAACAACAGUCUGCAAAUACAAGAAAUUCAACAUAUGAAUACAGCAGAGAAACACCAACCAAGAUAAACAAAUAGAGCCAUACCUAUGGGCAGGAAACCAAACCAAACCAAGCAAAACUGCUGACUGCCAAAGGAAAAAAGGAGAAAGAAAAGCUUAAAAGUAGACUGAGAACUUUUGUUUCAACUUAGGAAGUAGAAAGAAAUAAAAAACCUUGGCUCUGAAUAAUGAGAAUAACCUAUAAAACCUACCAUUCUAACCCCAUAAUGGGCCUGAGGAUGCAGAGAAUACUAAAUAAUGUAAAUUUUAAGAGUAAGGAGAGAAAGCAAAAGAAAUGGCACACGUUUGCUUUCAUCCCUGGCUGAGCAGCUGGGGGAGGAGGCAGAAGUCAAAGGAGAUAAGAAGGAACCAGCCGAACUCCCUAUGCAUUUUUAAUGACCAACUGUGUUCUGACAUGAAGCUGUAGAAUCCUAAGGAUCCACAGACGUAAAUAAAAUGUGCACAACUUGCCAACUCUUGGCCUUCACUGCCUAGUCUAAUGGAAGUUUGUGGCCAAACUGAGACCACAAACUGAGAAAAGGUUGCUGAGGUGUGGGCCAGCAUAUCCUGCUGAGGACUAAUUCAGGACUGCAAAAUCAGGAGAAACCUGGAGAGAGUACAUAAGGCUGGAGCAGAAGUAGAUCUGAAGGAGAGCCACACUGCGGCACAGGUGCAGAGGCAUGAAGAGGGCUGAGGGCAGCGAGGGAAUGCUAAGAAAAGCCUUCAGAGGAAAUCUGGACACAGCUCUCCAAGGCUACGGAAAGGGAAACAAUAAAAUAUGCUACUAAAAUAAUAAAAGAGGCAUAUUUCUAAAAAAAUUAUAAUGUAUCCAUCUGAUAGAAGAAUAAUCUAGUAUCUAUCUAGUAUCUAUUAAUUAAAUUCAGUACAAAAAGCUCCUAGCAAAAAAAAAAAAAAAAAAAAAAAAAAAAAAAAAUCAAGGCACAGAUGACAUAUUUAGUAAAGAAAAAAAAAAGCUAUUGGCUUCUUCUUGAGGCCAUAAUAGCCUUAAUUCAAAAACUUUAUAAGCGCAUUCAAGACAGCAAAAUUUUAGACCAAUCUUUCUCAAGAAGCAAGAUUAAAAAGUUUGCAAAAUAUAAAUAAAUGGAACAUUGAUAUGUAUGAAAAGGCCAAUAUAUCUUAGCCAAGUGGUAUUUAUUUUGUUAUUUUUUAAUUAAAGCUUUAUUCCAUUAGUGUUUAAAAAAAUCAAAAUACUACAUUUAUUAAUAGUGAGGUCACCAUAAAUUUAGGCAGGUCAUAUGACUGGAGUAGAUAUUCAAAAUACAAAUAUUACCCAGAGGACUUUUACCCUGAAUACAUCUUAAUCUAAAUAUGUACAGAAAAAUAUUAUAUGAUCACUUUAAUAUGUGUUGGAAAAGAGCAUUGAAUUUUUUUUAAAAAUUGUAUAAUUAAAAAUUAUAUUUAGCAAAAUGUAUCUCCUACAAACAUUAAAUGAAUGAAUAAAUGAAUAAAGAAGCAAAUAAAUAAAUAAAUGCAACUAUCACAAACAUCAUUCUCUAAGCUGAACUAUUGGCAGUUUCAGCCUACAAUUAGACACAAGGCAAGUGUGAAAAUACAAAGGUAUAAGGAUCAUUUGCAAAUAAAAUAAUAAUGUACCUACCAUUCUAUCUGGAUUAACCUGUUCUAGCAAGAUCUCUGUAUUCAAGGUAGACAAAAUAAGUUUUAUUAUUAUCUGCCAGCAGAAAACAAAUGGAAAUGAAAUGUAAAAAAUACAUGUAUUUACAAUAGCAUUAAGAAGACACUGCAAACAAGAAUAAUUAGAAGUCUACCUUUAAAAUGAAAUUAUGUUAUUGAAGAAGAUAAAGACUAAAAUCAGUGGAGAGAUUUACCUUAAUCAUGAAUUGACUGUUGUAAACAUUUCCGUUUUAAAUAAAUUCAUCUAUAAACUUGAUAUAUCAAGCAAAAUUUCAUUGAGAGUUAACCAUUUUAUUCUGUAAUUAUUAUAAGUGCAAGGACUUAAAUAUAUUCAAGAUGAUUAAAGCACAAAUCUGGAGGAUUUAUAAUACCAAUUGACCUAUUGUAAAGCUAGAUUACUAUUACAGUAUGAUCGUGCAGUUAUAUAUUGACCAAUGGCACAGAAAAGAGUACAUGAAGAAAACAAUGCUGUAAAGUCAUACACUGAAACACAAUAAAGAUAGCAUAUUCUUCCUAAUAAAUGGUACCAAAUUAGUUUGAUAUCCAGUACUUCUUUUCUUCAGUGAUGGACUACACAAGGAAGGAAUUGGAAGGGAACAAUGGUACCAUAGUCCUGGAAGACACAAACAAAAACAAAACAAAGCAAACAAAAACUGAAACUUA